rnacentral:rRNA from 1 species
UACGUAGGGGGUAAGCGUUGUUCGGAAUGACUGGGCGUAAAGGGUGCGUAGGCGGUGUAGCAAGUUAGAAGUGAAAUACCUAGAGUUUAACUCAGGUGCUGCUUCUAAAACUGCUAUACUUGAGUGCAGUAGAGGAAAGUGGAAUUCCUAGUGUAGCGGUGGAAUGCGUAGAUACUAGGAGGAACAUCAGUGGCGAAGGCGACUUUCUGGACUGUAACUGACGCUGAGGCACGAAAGUGUGGGGAGCAAACAGG